rfam:Brassica napus, WGS project CCCW01000000 data, contig: 6687
GUAAUAUAAGAUCGGUCUCUUAGCUUUUAACUAAAAAAGUUAAGAGAUGUCUCUUAAAUAAGAGAUAUAAGAGACGUCGUUUAGUUUUUUUAGUUAAAAGUUAAGAGACCGUAUCUUAUAUCAC